rnacentral:rRNA from 1 species
AUUGAACGCUGGCGGAAUGCUUUACACAUGCAAGUCGAACGGCAGCACGGGGGCAACCCUGGUGGCGAGUGGCGAACGGGUGAGUAAUACAUCGGAACGUGCCCAAUCGUGGGGGAUAACUACGCGAAAGCGUAGCUAAUACCGCAUACGAUCUACGGAUGAAAGCGGAGGAUCGCAAGACCUCGCGCGAAUGGAGCGGCCGAUGGCAGAUUAGGUAGUUGGGGGGUAAAGGCUCACCAAGCCGUCGAUCUGUAGCUGGUCUGAGAGGACGACCAGCCACACUGGGACUGAGACACGGCCCAGACUCCUACGGGAGGCAGCAGUGGGGAAUUUUGGACAAUGGCGCAAGCCUGAUCCAGCCAUUCCGCGUGCAGGAUGAAGGCCCUCGGGUUGUAAACUGCUUUUUGU